AAAGAUUAAGCCAUGCAUGCUCGCACAACUCGAUUAUGAGUGAAGCUGCGCACGGCUCAUUAGCACGGUUUCGACCUUUUUCGGAUAUCUCAAUGGGAUAACUGCGGAAAUACUGGAGCUAAUACCUGCACUUAAAAACCCGACGUAAGUAGGGUUGCAAUUAUUAGGCCAAACCAAUCGUCCUCGUGACGUAUUGUGGCGACUCCAAAUAGCCCAGUCUAUCGUCGGUUCUAUCCGACGAAGGCCGAAAAGGGUUUCUGCCCUAUCAACUAGACGGUAGCCCAGUAGACUACCGUGGUUGUCACGGGUACCGGAGAAUUGGGGUUUGACUCCGGAGAGGGAGCCUUAGAAACGGCUACCACAUCCAAGGAAGGCAGCAGGCGCGAAACUUGUCCACUGUCAAAAAUGAGAUAGUGACUAAAAAUAUAAAAUCCCUCCCUCAUGGGAGGGAUAUUUAAAUGAGUAGAGGUUAAAAAGCUCUUCGAGAAACUAAGAGAGGGCAAGUCUGGUGCCAGCAGCCGCGGUAAUUCCAGCUCUCUAAGUGUAAAUCGUUAUUGUCGCGGUUAAAAAGCUCGUAGUUGGAUUUAUGGUGGAUAGUGUGCGUUCGCUCAUUCGGGCGUCAAUGCACACGCCAUCAUUUCGGCAGUCUGCGCUAUGUGCGAAAGCAUAUACGUGACUGUCAAGUUUACCUUAAAUAGAUUAAAAUGCUCAAAAUAAGCGUAUGCUUGAAUAUCAUAUUAUGGAAUAAUGAAAUAGGACUUCGGUUCUUUUUGUUGGUUAUUGAAUCGGAGUAAUGAUUAAUAGGGAUAAUCUCGGGGGCAUUCGUAUUUCUGCGGGAGAGGUGAAAUUCUAUGAUCGCAGAAGGACGCCCUAAAGCGAAAGCAUUUGCCAAGAAUG
rnacentral:rRNA from 1 species